rnacentral:rRNA from 1 species
CAGUAGCCACGGGAAUACAGAGGGUGCGAGCGUUAAUCGGAUUUACUGGGCGUAAAGCGUGCGUAGGCGGCUUCUUAAGUCGGAUGUGAAAUCCCUGAGCUUAACUUAGGAAUUGCAUUCGAUACUGGGAAGCUAGAGUAUGGGAGAGGAUGGUAGAAUUCCAGGUGUAGCGGUGAAAUGCGUAGAGAUCUGGAGGAAUACCGAUGGCGAAGGCAGCCAUCUGGCCUAAUACUGACGCUGAGGUACGAAAGCAUGGGGAGCAAACAGGAUUAGAUACCCCCGUAGUCCCUGUCUCUUAUAU